CUCGCGCACCUCCAGGUGGGGCACCCCCUUCCUAAGCCCUCGGCCCCUCCCGCCAACGGUCACCGGGGGAUCCUGGCACAGACCCGGAGAGGGAGCCCACAGCUGUGGGGGGGGCUGCCACUGCUGCUGCUGCUGCCGCCGCCGCCGCUGCCGCCGCCAUUGGACAAACCUCACCAGUACCUACAGUGAGAAACACCAAGGAUCACAGCACAACCUGAAUGGCAAGAAACACGCUCCAUACCCCCUCGAUUUUCCAACUAUUUCCCUACUUCCCCUGGGACACAGCCGUUACUUCCUGUCUGGCCCCAGAGACUUUGGCCUGCCUGACUUACCCACACAGCAAUUCUGUACUACGUUCUCUGGACCCCAAGUCUCCCUAAAUUGAGUGACAAACUGGCAUCCCUGGCCUUCCUGAGAUCCCCUAUUGGGCCCUUUGAACUCCCUUGUCCCACACAUCCCAUCCUGCCCCCCCAGCCAUGUCCCACGCCUUGCCUGGUGGGUGCAGGGGUCCCCUCAGCAGGUAGGCUGUGGCUGGGGGGCAUCUCCCGGGAUAGGAGGGACGGCCCCCCCCAGAUGGGUCUGCAUGUGGCCGGCCAGCUGGGCAGGGGUCUUGCAGUGCACGCUGCACAGCUUGCACAGGAUGCGGUCAGCCCGCGGGGCCUGGAGCCCAUGGUCCUUCACCGCGUGGAUGCGCAGGGCGUGUGCGUGUACACCCGUGCUGAUGUACUCGACUUGCCCCGGGAGCUGGAGACAAGAACUUGUGGCUGCAAAGUUGAAACCCUGGGGACUGGCUUUCUUGAGUCUUCCUCUCACAAAGCACCCACGUCCUACUUCAUUCUCCCCAACUCUGGUAGACUGUCCCCUCUGAGCCAUGGCACAGAAUUUAGUGUUCAGUUACUUCCAAUGCUCUUGUGCUUGCUUCUUAAAGGGCUCUCUACAUGCCACGAGCUCUUGGCUACAGCACCCUUAACCCACACCCGUGAAACACCACCCACUCCCACUUUGUCCCUGCCCUCUGGCAUCCCUUAGCAUGUACCUUUGUUGCAGAGCUCACAGACAUGGUGAGGGCCCUGGCUGUGCACCUUCAUGUGGUCCGAAAUAUAAGCCGAGCUCAGCAUCUUGCCACACACAUGACAUGG